AUGAUGUGCUCUCAAUAACCCUGACAUCCCUGUGGCAGUUGGCACUGUCAUUCUGACGUCACAGAAGGGACUGGGAUGGACAGCCGGUGUUAGUCCAGGUGGCCUGGGUCCCUAACCCAGCCAGGCCGCCCUGCCCUGAUGUUUUCCAAGGAACAAAACGUUUGGUGCUCAGCAGCGCCUCCCUGCCAUCCAACCUCAGCACCACAGCCUGGCCCUCCAGGUUCAGCUGCAAGGAGACAGGCUCACUCUGCAGUUCUCCAAAAAGAUGUGCUUAGAAAUGUUCUAGCAGCCCUAUUAGGAAGGUCACAAACCAGAAACUACCCGGAACGCCCUGCACGGAG
rnacentral:lncRNA from 1 species